rnacentral:tRNA from 1 species
GAGAUUAUAGUUUAGUGGUAAAACCCUGCACUGUGGCUGCAGGUUCGUGGGUUCGAAUCCCGCUAAUCUCC